rnacentral:rRNA from 1 species
AUUGAACGCUGGCGGCAGGCUUAACACAUGCAAGUCGAAGCGGUAAACAGAGAUAGCUUGCUAUCUGCUGACGAGCGGCGGACGGGUGAGUAAUGCUUGGAAUCUGCCUGGUAGUGGGGGACAACAGUUGGAAACGACUGCUAAUACCGCAUAACCUCUUCGGAGCAAAGUGGGGGACCCUCGGGACCUCACGCUACCAGAUGAGUCCAAGUGGGAUUAGCUAGUUGGUGAGGUAAAGG